UGGGGAAUAUUGCACAAUGGAGGAAACUCUGAUGCAGCGACGCCGCGUGAGCGAAGAAGUAUUUCGGUAUGUAAAGCUCCGUCAGCAGGGAAGAUAAUGACGGUACCUGACCAAGAAGCCCCGGCUAACUACGUGCCAGCAGCCGCGGUAAUACGUAGGGGGCAAGCGUUAUCCGGAUUUACUGGGUGUAAAGGGAGUGUAGGUGGCUGCGCAAGUCAGGAGUGAAAGCCCGGGGCUCAACCCCGGGACUGCUCUUGAAACUGCGCGGCUUGAGUGCAGGAGGGGCAGGCGGAAUUCCUAGUGUAGCGGUGAAAUGCGUAGAUAUUAGGAGGAACACCGGUGGCGAAGGCGGCCUGCUGGACUGUAACUGACACUGAGGCUCGAAAGCGUGGGGAGCAAACAGGGAUUAGAUACCCUGGUAGU
rnacentral:rRNA from 1 species